AAGAGAGAUAAAGUGUGAGAGGAAGACAGUGAAGCUGGGAAAAGGUGAGAGAGGAGGAGAGAAAGAGUGGGAUGAUAAAAGAGUGAUACAGAGAGGAAAAGAGGGAGCAGAAGAGCAAAACAGAAAGGGUGAAAGUGAAGGACAGAGAGGGAAGAGAGAAGGGGGAGGGUGAGAGAGAGGGAGGGUGACAUGAAGAGAGACAAGGGAAGAGAGCAAGAAAUGGGGAUGGGGAAGGUGAGAGAGGGGGAGUGUGACAUGAAGAGAGACAAGGGAAGAGAGCAAGAAAUGGGGAUGGGGAAGGUGAGAGAGGGGGAGUGUGACAUGAAGAGAGACAAGGGAAGAGAGCAAGAAAUGGGGAUGGGGAAGGUGAGAGAGGGGGAGUGUGACAUGAAGAGAGACAAGGGAAGAGAGCAAGAAAUGGGGAUGGGGAAGGUGAGAGAGGGGGAGUGUGACGGAGCG